AUUGAACGCUGGCGGCAGGCCUAACACAUGCAAGUCGAACGAGUGGCGGACGGGUGAGUAAUGUCUGGGAAACUGCCUGAUGGAGGGGGAUAACUACUGGAAACGGUAGCUAAUACCGCAUACCAUCGGAUGUGCCCAGAGGGGAUUAGCUUGUAGGUGGGGUAACGGCUCACCUAGGCGACGAUCCCUAGCUGGUCUGAGAGGAUGCCCAGCCACACUGGAACGAGGACACGGUCCCGACGCCUACGGGAGGCAGCAGUGGGGAAUAUUGCACAAUGGGCGCAAGCCUGAUGCAGCCAUGCCGCGUGUAUGGAGAAGGCCUUCGGGGUGGAAAGUACUUUCAGCGGGGGGGCGUUACCCGCAGAAGAAGCACCGGCUAACUCCGUGCCAGCCGCCGCGGUAAUUC
rnacentral:rRNA from 1 species